rnacentral:lncRNA from 1 species
CUCCUGGCGGGGCGGGACUCCAGGCGCUCGAGGCGGGGCCUGUGCGCACGCGCAGAGGAGCGGGUCUGUGUCCGGGCGGGGGAGGAAGGGGUGGUGUUCCCGGUUUCCCGGGUUACCUGAGGGGGCGGGGGUGAGAGCUCGCGCUGGCGGGGCAGCGGUGGCGAGUCCGGAUUCUCUGGAGCGGGUGCGAGCGCGCCGCGGACCACAGAGCGGAGGUGAAGCCAUUUGCUAAGACGAUUUCAUCUAGUUCAUGAACCAAAAUUAUAUACACGCUGAAUGUUACAGAAGUGUUGAAAGACUGGUAGGUAACAUAAUAUUUUUUUAAUAUUUUAAUUAAUUAAUUAAUUAUUAUGUAUACAACAUUCUAUUUCCAUGUAUAUCUGCACACUAGAAGAGGGCACCAGAUCUCAUAACGGAUGGUUGUGAGCCACCAUGUGGUUUCUGAGAAUUGAACUUAGGACCUUUAGAAGAGCAGCCAGUGCUUUUAACCUCUGAGCCAUCUCUCCAGCCCUGGUAACAUAAUAUUAACAGAAGACUUGGUUCAAGGUAAAAUUUUGGAGCUAUAUAGUUAUAGUAAGCAAUUAGAUUCUCUGUAGGAAAAGUGUAUAUGUAGAUUGUGUAGUUAAUAUUUUUAUAGCUAUAAGCAUGUGUAUCCUGUAAAAAACAUGCAUGGUAAUGCUAAAUACCAUCUAGUGUGAGUUUAUCUUUCUUUUGCUGUAAACCUUGGUUUCUUUAUAUACACAUAUGCAUGUUCACAAAAUCACCUGAACAUCAUGAAUGCUAACACUACUGAUUCUGGGUGUUGGCUAUAAUUUCAUGUUCUAUACAUUUUUAAAAUAUUUGUAUGUAGUCUGUGUGUGUAUUUUUUGUGUAUGUGC